UCUAUCCGUGUGGGCUAACUUAUAACAUAAUAGACCUGGUGCGCUUGCCGGUGACCCAUACUGAUUUUUUGAAAUUAUUCUAUGGAGCUGAAAUUACCAGUGCUUAUAUUCAGUUGAAAUUUGGAAUAGUUGGUCUAAUGGUGGUACAAAUUAGGAAUAUAAUGCAAAUUACAACAUUUGCCAACGUGCGAGGGUUUAUUACUGUGGAUAAAUAAAUAUUACGACGUUAUACAACAGAACCUUGCGUCCGGCUCGGCAAAGCUCUACACUGAGCACAUUCAAGUCUAUAUUCUAUAAUCUAUAAUCUAUAUUCUGUGGCUUGCACCUACAUAAAUUCUGCAUCGUCCAGUGACGCGAUGAUGGAAGCCAUGAUAUAAUUUUAUCCUACUAACAAUUACUAGAACCAGGUUGAAUUUAAAUAAAUGUGUCAAUAGUCGAACAC